UGAUUUCAUCCUCCAAGCAUAAUUAGCUUUAUUUAUGUUUUUCCUCUCUCCCUCUCUCUAUCUCUCGAAUGCAUGCAGGGGCAUAAACUCUCACGUUUACUAGCUCUUGCCUCUUGUCUCCCCUGUUCCUAAAUUGCUAUUUAAGAUCAUGAAGUGGUGCUAAAAAUGCUUCAUAACAUAUUUUACAAUCGGCAUCAACUUCAUUAUCACUUUUGGAUUCACUUUAAGUUUCAAAGUUGAUUUCUUUUUUUGUGGUCCUUUAGGCUGAUUUUGUAUUUUGGGCAAUUAUAUGAGCACGUAUGAUAUAAUACUUAGUUUAGCUGUAUGAUACAAUACUUAGUUUAGCUGAUGACUUUGUAACGCUUCUCACGAUCGAACUGAAAACUCCACCUCUACUCAACAAGUGCAGCUUUUUGACGUAUCUUUAACUCAAUUGCCCAUGAACUUCAAACUUGUGAAUGUCAAAAACAAUUUUUGUAGUGUCAAUGACCACACACAAGGUGAUUCUUCAUGCAUGCAUGCAUGUAUUCAUCCCCACUGAAACUAAGUACAAAGGCAUAUGAUUUCUGAAUUUUUAGAAGUUUGACUUCAUCUGAUUUUUAUACUUGUUUUUCUAAAUGCGUGAAGAGUGAAUGAUCCUGUGGCAAUGAAGCUACUCAACAAGGCUGGAGACAUGCCGUCAUUAGAACCACCAGAGGAUGAAAGCAUUAAAACGCUCUAUGUAGGUGGGCUUGAUGCGAGGAUCAAUGAGCAGGACCUAAGGGAUCAGUUUUAUGCUCAUGGCGAAAUUGAAUCCAUAAAAAUGGUGCCUCAAAGAGCAAUUGCUUUUGUAACCUACACAACCAGAGAAGGAGCAGAAAAGGCCGCAGCGGAGCUCUCUAACAGGCUAGUCAUCAAGGGUCUGCGUCUGAAAUUGAUGUGGGGUAGACCGCAAGCACCAAAACCUGAGUCGGAAAGUUCUGAUGAAGCAAGGCAGCAGGCAGCAAUGGCCCAUAGUGGGAUGUUGCCCCGUGCAGUUGUAUCUCAGCAACACAACCACUUAAAUCCACCCGGCACCCAGGACCAACAUCCUCCAAUGCACUACUUCAAUAUUCCCCCACCACCUCAGCAAGAACGAGCAUUUUACCCGUCAAUGGAUCCUCAAAGAAUGGGUGCCCUUGUUGGAUCCCAAGACGGUACUCCUAAUGGGCCUGCAGGAUCAGGUGAGAAUAAAUCUGGAUUGGAGAAGCAGCUCGGGCAGCACUAUCCAUAUCAAAGUAUGCCACCACCUCACGUGCAAUACCAACAACAAUACCAACAACAACAUUAUCCAGCAUAUGGUUAUAUGCCGCCAGUGCCACCGUAUCAGCAGUAUCCUCUGCCAUAUCACACUCCUGUGCCUCCCCCACAGGUGGUGCAAUCCACACAGCAGUAUCAGCAUCCUGUGCCACCGCCAAUGGCUGCACCUGCAGAGUCCAUGACCUCUGUGCCCCCACAUCAGGGAUCCCGAGAUCCUGCAGGGUCGAUGCCCUCCGAGCCCUCAUCUCAGGGAUCUGAAGCACCUGCAGGGUCCAAACGCUCCAGCCCACCAUCUCCGAGACCUGGAGAACCUGAAGAAUCUAAACCCUCAGGGCCCUUACCUUGAAUGCUGUUUAAGUUUUCUUGUGCUUGUAUUGUUGGUUGCAGUAAUUUGUUCAACAUACUAUCUGAUUAAGAAGGCGAGAACUUGCAUCAGAAUCUAUGAUCCAUGAGAAGUUGUGAUGCAAUUCAUAGGGAGCGUUUGUCCUUGUUUAGCAGGCUUCAUGUGCAAGUUUGAUCAGGAUCGGUGAUCGAGGUUCCCAUUAACGUCUAGCCAAGAUUUCAUGGGAGUUGGGCAUUCUAGCCAAGGUUUAAUUUGAAAAUAGUAUAGGUUCUCAUGACAUCGUGGUCGUUUAAUGUUAACUUCAAUUUUACGCAGCAAUAAAAAGUUUGCGUUAUUCAAGCACGGAUGAUAAAUAUUGUUCUUUAAAAAUGAUGUUUUAACUUUUAUGAAAUAAAUGUUGUUCUUUUCUUUUCUGAUGUGAUAAGGUGCUUGAUCAUUUGUUAUAUGUUGAAAUUAUUCUUGAUCAUCGGUGAUCAUCACAGUUAUAAUUAAAUUAGUUGAAUUAAAAAAAAAUGAUAGCAGUAAGAUAAAUAUUCACAAUACAGCAAGUAAAGAAGCUUCUCCCGUUUGUAGUCUUACAAUUUGAACACUAUUCUUUUAAUUUUCAGGAUAAUCCAACUUGCUGAAUCAUAAAUAAUUAAUAGUUUAAAGGGCUGGCUUGGUGAGUAAGAAUUUUUGCUUCAUUCUAGAUUUUUGAAAUUUAUUUAAAUUUAAGAACAUGUAUCAUUUGAAUGUACCAGAAUGAUUCGAGGGUGCGUUUUUAAAAUGGUUUAGUAACAGAUUUAGUCUUAGUUGAUCCAGAUUAACUCGAAUAUCCUUACUGCACAUACAAAAAAAUUUAGCCAACAUCACUGUUGGCUAAGCUCAACUGUUUCUUGAAAAUAAAAGCUUUAAACUUGUUCAUCCUGCACUAAACACGUCUUAGAGUAAACGAGCCAUCUAAGUCGGGUUUUGUUAUGAGUAAUAAUUUUUUUAAAAAAAUAUUAGUUAUGCAUGCUCCUUCAAUAUAUUUUUUAACAUAAAAAAAUUUAAAAUAUAAAUUAAAAAGUUUAUGCAAGUAUCUCAUUAAAUAAAUUAAUAAUCAUUUAUAUAAUUAAAUGGAAAAAACCAAAAGAGAAAUUGAUAAAAUUAAGAGUGUAAAUUAAGAUAUCCAAUCACAUAAAAUAAAAUAUUAACCUAAUUGUUUUUACUGAAUUUGUUUAUUAAAAUCAAUAAAAAAUAAAUCCACAACCUAAAGAACUCAUGACUUAAAAGAUAAACACAAAUAAAACUGACAAAUAAACUUAUGCCAUAAAAAAAUAUUAUGCAAAGUCAAACACAUCAACAAUAUUAUUUAAAAAUAAAUAUUUUUUAUUUUUAAAAAUCAACUUCAUUUGUAUAAAACACAAAAAAAUUCUAAAUAAAUUAGCUAACAUCUUGAAAAACAAAACAUGUUUUAAAAAGGAAACAAUAUUAAAAAUAAAUAAAUGCAGAGUGAUAAGAUCGUAUGAAGUCAAAUCUCUAACAAAUCAAAUGUUGAAAGAUGAAAUCAAUAAAAAAAAAUCAAUUGCACAAAAUGAUUUAAAAAAUAAGAGUGAAAAAAAAACAUUGAUUAUAGGGCAAUUAAAAAUUUGAUUUGAUAUGUGCUCCGUAACGGGUCAUAAUUUUUCUUUCUAAAAAAACUUGAGCAUACAGACUUAUCUAGAUUCAUUUUUUUUCAUGAAAUAAAUUAUAAAUGUAAAUAAAAAAUUUUAUCCAAAAAUCUAAUAUCAUCUAUGUAAAUAAAUUAAUUUUUUUUGUUAAUAAUAACUAAAAGAGAAACAGAGAAAAAUGAGAAAUGAACAUAAAUUAAGAUAUUUGAUAUCAUAAAAUAAAACAUUUACUUAUUUGUGUUCACUAAAUUUGUUCAUACCAAUCAAUAAAAGAUAAUAAAAAUAAAAACACAUAUGAAACAAAGUAAAUAAAAUAAAAGGACAAAAAAUAUGCAUAGCCGAGAAUAUAUGAAAUAUUAUUUCAAAAUAACUAUUUUUUAUGAUCAAUUGUAAUGGCUAGAUUGAAACUAAUAUAUGAUCAAUUGUAAUGGCUAGAUUGAAAAUAUAAAAAACUUUUCUAAAAGAGUCAAUGAUAAAAAUAAACAAUAAAAAACACAGGGACUAAAAUUGAAAAAUAAAAAAUAAAAGGGACAAAUAUGCACUUUAACUAGAAGAGAGAGAAAAGCAUGCAAGAAAAAGAAGAAACGACCACUGGCGACAAACUGUCGGAUCACCACCGACACACUCUACACCGGGAGGAAGAUCACAUGACGGCGCUUCUAGUGACAUGGAGGAAGGCCAUUUUUGGAUAAACAGUGGUGUCGCAUGUGACGUCGAAAAAGCGCAGACGCAGUCAUUGCGUGGAAAAUACGCACCAACAGCUUUUCAUUAUUUAAUAUUAAAAAAUAAGGUUAAUUACUAUAAAAAACCCUCAUGACCUUGGAAAUAACAAAUAAAACCAAUAUGAAAAUACCAAAAUACCCCUGUAUGCAUAGAGGCUAUUUUAUCUUAUAUACGGGCAAAUAUAUAUUUUAUUGAUUUUCAAGUUUGUGCAAAGUCAGAAACACCUUUGGUCAACAAGUUUAAAUUUCAUUGACCUUGAAGGCAAAAUAGUAUUUUUACUGUACAAAAUAAUAUGCAAAGAAAAUAAUACUCAUGUUCAAUCUUUUAAUGACUAAUGGGUCAACGUAAAAGGACCAAAAUACCCACAUGCCCUAACCUUCUAACUUUUUCAUGAGAGACACAAAAGUAAAUUUACUAUAACAAUCCAUAGUGAACUGAGUCUAUUGCUAUAAUGAAUUCACUAGAUUUUAUGUCCACACGAUAUGACGCAUAAUAAAUUUCAAAAUUAAUUGUUAUUUAAUUUAAUAAAAAUUAAAAAAAAUAUUUGUAUAAAUUUCGAGGAUUUAACUUUUAAAUAAGAAAUGUGUUUCUUAAGUAGAAGUCCACAUUCCUUAUUUAAACAUUUUUUUUUAUUUCAACGAAAAAUAUCUUUUUCUGUCACCAUCAUUUUUUUAUAAUAAAACUUAAGAUAAUUUUAAUUUAUAUCAAGAAGGGAGAAAAUUUUAUUAAAUGAGGCAAAACAACAACAUCUCCUCUCCUUCUCCUCCUCCUUCACCACCACCACCUUUGAAUUUUUUUUUUUAAAUUAAAACUUAUUAUAAUCUAAAACACAAGUUUCAAACAAAAAACAAAAAUCAUGUCCUUAAAAUGUUUAUGUCGUGAUAUGAAAAAAAUAAUUCAUUCAUAAAAACUAUAUAAAAAAAGUAGCAAUAAAAAAAUUAAAAUACCCUCAUAUAUAUUAUAACCAUCACGAAUUUGAUUAAAAGAUAUUGAUUGAAAUCCGUUUCCCAUCUCCUUUUCUCUUUAACAACAACAAGCAAUCUAUUUUCCAUAUCUUUGCCAAACAAAAUUAAUUUUUUAUUUAUUUAUGAAUACAUAGAGAAUGGGACUCGUAUUCUAUUAUGUUUGUACUGGCAUUUUAUCAAACAGAGCAGCAAGAAAAAAAAAGGGCCUAGUAAAGAAAAAAAAGGCAGAAGCAAUUUUAGAGCAGAUCAACGAACUGGGUCCUUCUUCUUUUUAGCAAGGAACUUGGAAAGGCACCUGUGAAUAUUUUCGGCCUUUGGCCACAUGUUGUCAUAUUUCCAUUUCUCCAAAGCUUUAGCCAAAGCUAGAGUCCAUGUCUCUUUCGUAUCAACUCCCACCACGCUCGGCACCCCUGAUAAAAUCACUGGAACCUCAUCUGCAAUCUUUGAUGUUAAGUUUGCCUGUGAUCUCUUGAAGCACCCCUUCAAGCAGUUUGUCGCCGAGAAAUCAUCCAAUUGGAUAAUUAGUGAUUUUUGUUUUCACUGGGUUUUUGAUAUUGCAGAAGAAUAUGAUAUCCGAGUAAUACACUUUUCAAUUCUCUGUGAAACCUUGAAAGAUUUCCUGGGACCUGCCGAGUAUCUUGUUGGUGACCGUCUAAAAUCAAUCUAAUUUGGGUUUCGUUGGAGGUCUAGGUUUGGAAUUGUCUAAAAUCAAUCAAAUCAAUUCUGUAAGAGAUACGGGUGGCUAGGGUAAAGGAGUUUUUUUUUUUUUAAUUAAAUGGCUAUUUUGUAAUUUAUAAUUUUAAAAUUGUAAAGAUUAUUUAGUUAUUAAAUAAAAUAUAAUGAUAAUUUUAUAAAUAAUUAAAUAAUUUUUAUUGACUUUUCUCGACAGUAUGGGAAGCGAAUGUAAACUAUCAUACUGACGACAAAGUUUAGAAUUCAAAUUAUAAUUUUUCACUAAACUAUAUAAUUUAUUUUCAUCCUUUUCUUUUGGGCCUACGCGUAUUUACCUUUAAACACCUUGAAAAACCCAUAGUACGUAAGCCCAUGGACUUACUUGUCAAACCAGUCAACAAAGGCAAGCCUAAACACGGUCAGUCUGGGCCGACACCAUCUAUAUAUAUAAAAGCCUGGAGUUAAUUCACUCUUCCUCUUUAACAAUUUAAAGAACACCCUGCCCUAGAUUCUAAAAUCCAAUUGAUUGUCGGAUUCGCGAAGAAGAUAAAUAACUAUUGGUUUAUUCAUCACAGGAAAAUCUGAACACGCCAGAUUCCGGCUUUUUAGGGUAAGAUUUCUUCUCCUUUUCUAGCAACGUUGUUUUUAAUGCUUCAAAAGGGGUUUUGUAAUUGCUUUUGAGAUUAUGUCAUUGGGUUAAGCCUGAAUUAAUUACCUGUGUUUUGUUUUUUUUAUAUAUAUAUAUAUAUUUUUUGAGAAUUGAAUUUACAAUAUUUUGAUUUGUGUGACCAGAAGUAUAACAACAAUUUCUGGUAUACAUCGCAGAGAUUAGGGCAGUGAAGUGUGUGUUUGACCUAGAAGAAAAAAGGGAAUGGCGCACAGGUUGUUAAAAGACCCGGAGGCUGACGGAUGGGAACGGUCUGACUUUCCUAUCAUUUGCGAGUCUUGCUUAGGUGACAAUCCCUAUGUCAGAAUGGUAUGCAAUAUUAAUCCUUGUUCCAAGUUGGGUUUUUUUGGGGGGGAGGGGCUUUGGCUGUGCUGUGUGGAUAUUUAUAUGAUUUGUUCCUUUGCGGUUGUAUGUACUUGGUGGGAUGCAGACCAGAGCUGACUUCGAUAAGGAAUGCAAGAUAUGUACUCGACCAUUUACAGUGUUUAGGUGGAGGCCUGGCAGGGAUGCGAGAUUUAAAAAGACUGAAGUUUGCCAGACUUGCAGUAAGUUGAAAAAUGUUUGUCAAGUCUGUCUUUUGGAUCUAGAGUAUGGUUUGCCUGUUCAAGUUCGUGAUACUGCUCUCAGUAUAAAUUCCAACGAUGCUAUUCCAAAGAGUGAUGUGAAUAGAGAGUAUUUUGCCGAGGAGCAUGACCGAAGGGUAUGUUUGUUUCAUGUUUUAACUCUAGUAUGUUUUAGUUGCUUUUUUGGCUGUAUGUGAUGUGAAGCUAUUUACUGUGUUGUGUGUUAGAAUUCUCGGGUUGUUAGGGUAUCACCAUUACUGGGUAACCGAUGAUUUCCAAGUAAAUGUUUACUUUCUAGUGGCUGUUGAUGUAAUUUUGACAUGUAGUUGUUAGAAUGAACUGAUGAUGCAGCUACUAUAUAUGAAACCCACAUUUGUUAUUUGCAGCAUGCUUGUUGCCAUGGGACGUCUUUUUUUCUUAUGAAUGAAUCAUAUUGCAUAUACCAUAUAAUAGCAGUGAAAGAUAUCAAUUUCCCAUUUUUAUUUGUACUGGUACUUUUUAUUUAAGAGUCGUGUUUUAUAUGAACUGCUGAGCAUGUUUUAUAUGAACUAGAUGCUGAGAUUCACAUUAGACUAAUAUGUUUUAGAUGAAACUUGGCAGGCCUUUUAUCUUUAAAUAAAAUGAUAAUGUAAACAUAAUACUUGAUGUUACACUUGCAGAUACUUAACAAUGUGAGUUAUUGUGCAAUGAAAAUUAUGUAUCUAAAUUAUUUUAUUUAACUACAAUUAAUGCAAGUUAUUCGAUUCACAUAAGUACGAAUACUAAAAUUAUAGUUACAUACCAAAACCUUUAUCUGUACCUUUGAUCAUUCAUUUAAUAACCAAGGAGGUCCUUUGAUCCUGUCUCCCUCCUAUUGUAGUUAUGGAUUUCAAACUAUCUAAUAGCCUAAUCAGUGUGCAGUUCAGUUAGUUAUGCAUUCAAGGUUGUUCCACUGAGAUGGUGAUUGUUACAAUAAUUCUGUUCUGUUGUUCUCUUAAGUGAAGCUGAUAUGAUUUUGCUUGAUGCAGGCUAGGGCGGGAAUUGAUUAUGAAUCUUCAUAUGGAAAGGCACAAGCAAAUGAUACUAUUCUGAAGCUUCAAAGAACAACACCAUACUACAAAAGAAAUCGAGCACAUGUUUGUAGCUUCUUUGCACGUGGUGAAUGCACACGAGGUGCCGAGUGCCCCUAUAGGCAUGAGAUGCCCAUAACUGGGGAGUUGUCACAACAAAAUAUUAAAGAUCGUUACUAUGGGUACGUAGAAUGUUGUAAUUUCAUCCUCCAAGCAUAAUUAGCUUUAUUUAUGUUUUUCCUCUCUCCAUCUCUGGCAUGCAUGCAGGGGUGUACACUCAUGAUUGCUAGCUCUUGCCCUUUGGCUCCCCUGUUCCUGAAUUGUUAUUUGAGUUUCAAAUUUGAUUUCUUUGUUUGUGGUCCUUUAGGUGGAUUAUUGUAUUUUGGGCAAUUAAAUGAGUACGAAUGAUAUAAAACUUAGUUUAGCUGAUGACUUUGUAAUGCUUCUCACGAUGGAACCGAAAACCACGCACAAGUUGAUUCUGCAUGCAUGCAUGUAUCCAUCCCCACUGAAACUAAGUACAAAGGCAUAUGAUUUCUGAAUUUUUAGAAGUUUGACUUCAUCUGAUUUUUAUACUUGUUUUUCUAAAUGCGUGAAGAGUGAAUGAUCCUGUGGCAAUGAAGCUACUCAACAAGGCUGGAGACAUGCCGUCAUUAGAACCACCAGAGGAUGAAAGCAUUAAAACGCUCUAUGUAGGUGGGCUUGAUGCGAGGAUCAAUGAGCAGGACCUAAGGGAUCAGUUUUAUGCUCAUGGCGAAAUUGAAUCCAUAAAAAUGGUGCCUCAAAGAGCAAUUGCUUUUGUAACCUACACAACCAGAGAAGGAGCAGAAAAGGCCGCAGCGGAGCUCUCUAACAGGCUAGUCAUCAAGGGUCUGCGUCUGAAAUUGAUGUGGGGUAGACCGCAAGCACCAAAAC
rnacentral:lncRNA from 1 species